rnacentral:rRNA from 1 species
CCUACGGGAGGCAGCAGUGGGGAAUAUUGGACAAUGGGCGAAAGCCUGAUCCAGCCAUGCCGCGUGUGUGAAGAAGGCCUUCGGGUUGUAAAGCACUUUCAGUGGGGAAGAAAGCCUUGGGGCUAAUACCCUCGAGGAAGGACAUCACCCACAGAAGAAGCACCGGCUAACUCCGUGCCAGCAGCCGCGGUAAUACGGAGGGUGCGAGCGUUAAUCGGAAUUACUGGGCGUAAAGCGCGCGUAGGCGGUCUGAUAAGCCGGUUGUGAAAGCCCCGGGCUCAACCUGGGAACGGCAUCCGGAACUGUCAGGCUAGAGUGCAGUAGAGGAGGGUAGAAUUCCCGGUGUAGCGGUGAAAUGCGUAGAGAUCGGGAGGAAUACCGGUGGCGAAGGCAGCCUUCUGGACUGUAACUGACGCUGAGGUGCGAAAGCGUGGGUAGCAAACAGGAUUAGAUACCCCUGUAGUC